rnacentral:rRNA from 1 species
UACGUAGGGUGCAAGCGUUGUCCGGAAUUAUUGGGCGUAAAGAGCUCGUAGGCGGUCUGUUGCGUCGGCUGUGAAAACCCGGGGCUCAACUCCGGGCCUGCAGCCGAUACGGGCAGACUAGAGUUCGGCAGGGGAGACUGGAAUUCCUGGUGUAGCGGUGAAAUGCGCAGAUAUCAGGAGGAACACCGGUGGCGAAGGCGGCUACCUGGACCGGUUCUGACGCUGAUGCGCGAAAGCGUGGGUAGCAAACAGG